AUACGGAGGGUGCAAGCGUUACUCGGAAUCACUGGGCGUAAAGCGCGCGCAGGCGGUCUUUUAAGUUGGAUGUGAAAGCCUACAGCUCAACUGUAGAACUGCAUCCAAAACUAUUAGACUAGAGUCUGGGAGGGGAAGAUGGAAUUAGUUGUGUAGGGGUAAAAUCCGUAGAUAUCACUAGGAAUACCGAAAGCGAAGGCGAUCUGCUGGGACAUUACUGACGCUGAGGCGUGAAAGCGUGGGGAGCAAACAGGAUUAGAAACCCCAGUAGUCC
rnacentral:rRNA from 1 species